UUAAUCCUACGGGGGGCAGCAGUCGGGAAUAUUGCGCAAUGGAGGAAACUCUGACGCAGUGACGCCGCGUAUAGGAAGAAGGUUUUCGGAUUGUAAAAUCUUGUCGUGAGGGAAGAAAUUGACAGUACCUCAGGAGGAAGCUCCGGCUAACUAUGUGCCAGCAGCCGCGGUAAUACAUAGGGAGCAAGCGUUAUCCGGAUUUAUUGGGUGUAAAGGGUGCGUAGUCGGGAAAUUAAGUUAGUUGUGAAAUCCCUCGGCUUAACUGAGGAACUGCACCUAAAACUGAUUUUCUUGAGUACUUGAGU
rnacentral:rRNA from 1 species